CUUCUGUUUGUCAUAGGAUCAUGUCAGCUGAACUCAAUUAAUGAAACCAGGAAUGAAGUAAGAUCCACUAAUGCAAUAAACUGUCUGCACUUAAUGUUCUACCUACAAUUAAAGUUUUUAUAUCCAAACUCUAUAGAUGGAUACAGCAAUAUAUUCCUGUAAUCUAUCAGCUGUAAGCUUUGUACCCUCUAACUGGCUUCUGUAGGUAUUUGCCCAGGUGUAUGUGAGUCAGUUUUGUUUUUUUAAUGGAAUUUUUAUUUUCAGUGCCAUCACCCAUCUUGUGAGCUGUUGAGGGAGUACAACCACAGGCUGCAGAGGGAAAAUGAUUCUCUCAAGGCAAAAAUAGCAACAUUGAAAUUGCUGCCAGACGUUUGCAGAAGAUGGAGGAGUUUCUUCACUCAGCACCAAAACCAACGACAACACCAACACCAACACCAAGACCAAGACCAAGACCAGAACCAACACUAUCACCAGCACCAACAGCAGUUCCCCCACCAGCAACAAAAGACCCAUCACCAGCUCCAGGUCCAUCAUCAGCAUCAGCAACAGACGCCCUGGGUCACUCUGUCAUUCCAAAAGGACUUUUGGAGCGCUGCUCCUUCCUACAGGGGAUGUAUACCAGGGAAUAUAUGGCAGGCCAUUCAGUGACUGGCCAGUCAUCCAGCAGCUGCACAGAAGGAAAACCUGGCCUAGCCAAACAGGACCUUGUUGAAAUAACAGAUGCUGCAAAGUUGAAGUUCACCUACGUAACUGAUACGAACAUAAAAGCAUUUAUACGACAAAAGCUAAACAAUGCUGCCAAAUUUCA
ensembl:lncRNA